rnacentral:lncRNA from 1 species
AUUUUUGUGUCAUGGCAGCUGGGACAAACCUGAAGACAUCUGGACACUUGGGACAACUUUCCUCAUUGAUAUACCUGAGGUGAUCAUUGCCACACCUGGAUUAUCACAGGAUUGAACUCAAGGCGUUCACACGGAGCUACAUCCCCAGUGCUUUUUAAAAUUUUGAGACAAUGUCUUGCUAAAUUGCCCAGGCUAGGGCUCAGACUUCUGAUCCUCCUGCUUCAGUCUCCCAAAGUGCUGCAAUUACAGACGUGCACCAGCAUGCCUGGGAGGCCCAAGAGUCCAGACGUGUCUUGCUUAGACCUUCCCUGCAGGCCUCUUUUCCCCCCAUCAUCCCCUCCUGACGUCUUCCCUGCAGAGAAGAGUGAAGGAGAAGAGCAGGAACCUGUGG